rnacentral:rRNA from 1 species
AACGAACGCUGGCGGCAUGCUUUAUACAUGCAAGUCGAACGUGAAAGUCCUUCGGGAUGAGUAAAGUGGCGCACGGGUGAGUAACGCGUGGGAACGUGCCUUAUAGUUUGGAAUAACCGCGGGAAACUGCGGCUAAUACCAGAUACGCCCUUCGGGGGAAAGAUUUAUCGCUAUAAGAUCGGCCCGCGUAAGAUUAGGUAGUUGGUGGGGUAAUGGCCUACCAAGCCUACGAUCUUUAGCCGGUCUGAGAGGAUGAUCGGCCACACUGGAACUGAGACACGGUCCAGACUCCUACGGGAGGCAGCAGUGGGGAAUAUUGGGCAAUGGAGGAAACUCUGACCCAGCCAUGCCGCGUGAGUGAUGAAGGCCUUAGGGUUGUAAAGCUCUUUCGUUGGUGAAGAUAAUGACGGUAACCAAAGAAGAAGCCCCGGCUAACUUCGUGCCAGCCGCCGCCGUAA